rnacentral:rRNA from 1 species
UGCGUAGGUGGCAAGGCAAGUCUGAAGUGAAAAUCCGGGGCUCAACCCCGGAACUGCUUUGGAAACUGUUUAGCUGGAGUACAGGAGAGGUAAGUGGAAUUCCUAGUGUAGCGGUGAAAUGCGUAGAUAUUAGGAGGAACACCAGUGGCGAAGGCGACUUACUGGACUGCUACUGACACUGAGGCACGAAAGCGUGGGGAAGCAAACA